rnacentral:rRNA from 1 species
GACUAUACUUCAGAGUUUGAUCCUGGCUCAGGACGAACGCUGGCGGCGUGCCUAAUACAUGCAAGUAGAACGCUGAGGACUGGUGCUUGCACCGGUUCAAGGAGUUGCGAACGGGUGAGUAACGCGUAGGUAACCUACCUCGUAGCGGGGGAUAACUAUUGGAAACGAUAGCUAAUACCGCAUGACAAUGGAGGACCCAUGUCUUUCAUUUAAAAGGUGCAACUGCAUCACUAUGAGAUGGACCUGCGUUGUAUUAGCUAGUUGGUGAGGUAACGGCCCACCAAGGCGAUGAUGUUUAGCGGGGUUGAGAGACUGAUCCGCCACACUGGGACUGAGAUACGGCCCAG